UGCAGUCGAGGGGCAGCACGGGAAUAGUUUACUAGACCUGGUGGCGACCGGCGCACGGGUGCGUAACGCGUAUGCAACUUCACGAGGUCUGCAGCCCGACUUCGUGAAGUUGGAUUCACCAGCACUCACUCAUCAUCCAUCGCGCGGUGAAUACGUUCCCGGGUCUUGUACACGCCGAGCAUGCGUCCCAUUAGCUAGAUGGUGAGGUAACGGCUCACCAUGGCGACGAUGGGUAGGGGGCCUGAGAGGGUGAUCCCCCACACUGGUACUGAGACACGGACCAGACUCCUACGGGAGGCAGCAGUGAGGAAUAUUGGUCAAUGGACGCAAGUCUGAACCAGCCAUGCCGCGUGCAGGAAGAAUGCCCUAUGGGUUGUAAACUGCUUUUAUUCGGGAAUAAACCCUUUUACGUGUAAGAGGCUGAAGGUACCGAAUGAAUAAGCACCGGCUAACUCCGUGCCAGCAGCCGCGGUAAUACGGAGGAUGCAAGCGUUAUCCGGAUUUACUGGGUUUAAAGGGUGCGCAGGCGGAACAAUCAGUCAGUGGUGAAAUCUCCCGGCUUAACCGGGAAACUGCCGUUGAUACUAUUGUUCUUGAGUCCAGUUGAAGUAGGCGGAAUGUAGCAUGUAGCGGUGAAAUGCUUAGAUAUGCUACAGAACACCGAUAGCGAAGGCAGCUUACUAAACUGAAACUGACGCUCAGGCACGAAAGCGUGGGUAGCAAGCAGGAUUAGAUACCCUGGUAGUCCACGCCCUAAACUAUGAUCACUCGUUGUUGGCAAUAUAUCGUCAGCGACUAAGCGAAAGCAUUAAGUGAUCCACCUGGGGAGUACGAUCGCAAGGUUGAAACUCAAAGGAAUUGACGGGGGCCCGCACAAGCGGAGGAGCAUGUGGUUUAAUUCGAUGAUACGCGAGGAACCUUACCUGGGCUAGAACGCAGAACGAUGUUUCGGGAAACCGGAAUUCUCUUCGGAGCGGUCUGCGAGGUGCUGCAUGGUUGUCGUCAGCUCGUGCCGUGAGGUGUCGGGUUAAGUCCCAUAACGAGCGCAACCCCUAUUCUUAGUUGCCAUCAGGUAAUGCUGGGGACUCUAGGAAA
rnacentral:rRNA from 1 species